rnacentral:rRNA from 1 species
UGGGGAAUUUUGCACAAUGGGGGAAACCCUGAUGCAGCGACGCCGCGUGAUUUAGAAGGCCUUCGGGUUGUAAAAAUCUUUUUUAUGGGAUGAAAAUGACAGUACCAUAAGAAUAAGGUCCGGCUAAAUACGUGCCAGCAGCCGCGGUAAUACGUAUGGACCGAGCGUUGUCCGGAAUCAUUGGGCGUAAAGGGUACGUAGGCGGCCCAGUAAGUUAGAAGUGAAAUAAUAUAGCUCAACUAUAUAAAGCUUUUAAAACUGCUAGGCUUGAGAGAUGGAAGGGAAAGUGGGAUUCCUAGUGAAGCGGUGAAAUGCGCAGAUAUUAGGAAGAAUACCGGUGGCGAAGGCGACUUUCUGGUCAUCAUCUGACACUGAGGUACGAAAGCGUGGGUAGCAAACAGG